rnacentral:rRNA from 1 species
ACGAACGCUGGCGGCGUGCCUAAUACAUGCCAGUAGAACGCUGAAGGAAGGAGCUUGCUCUUUCUGGAUGAGUUGCGAACGGGUGAGUAACGCGUAGGUAACCUGCCUGGUAGCGGGGGAUAACUAUUGGAAACGAUAGCUAAUACCGCAUAAAAUUGAUUAUUGCAUGAUAGUCAAUUAAAAGGUGCAACUGCACCACUACCAGAUGGACCUGCGUUGUAUUAGCUAGUUGGUGGGGUAACGGCUCACCAAGGCGACGAUACAUAGCCGACCUGAGAGGGUGAUCGGCCACACUGGGACUGAGACACGGCCCAGACCCCUACGGGAGGCAGCAGUAGGGAAUCUUCGGCAAUGGACGGAAGUCUGACCGAGCAACGCCGCGUGAGUGAAGAAGGUUUUCGGAUCGUAAAGCUCUGUUGUAAGAGAAGAACGAGUGUGAGAGUGGAAAGUUCACACUGUGACGGUAUCUUACCAGAAAGGGACGGCUAACUACGUG